GGUUAAUCCGAGUGUUUCCUGCUAAAGGAAUCUUUUGCUAGUCCUAAAAACACUAGUGAAUAAGGGGUGGGCAAGUUCUGGUGUCAGCCGCCGCGGUAAAACCAGCACCUCAAGUGGUCAGGAGGAUUAUUGGGCCUAAAGCAUCCGUAGCUUGCUCUGUAAGUUUCCGGUUAAAUCCAUUAGCUCAACUAAUGGCCUGCCGGAAAUACUGCAAAGCUAGGAAGUGGGAGAGGUAGACGGUACUCGGUAGGAAGGGGUAAAAUCCUUUGAUCUAUUGAUGACCACCUGUGGCGAAGGCGGUCUACCAGAACACGUUCGACAGUGAGGGAUGAAAGCUGGGGGAGCAAACCGGAUUAGAUACCCGGGUAGUCCCAGCUGUAAACGAUGCAGACUCGAUGAUGCACUGGCUUGUGGCCAGUGCAGUGUCGCAGGGAAGCCGUUAAGUUUGCCGCCUGGGAAGUACGUACGCAAGUAUGAAACUUAA
rnacentral:rRNA from 1 species